rnacentral:rRNA from 1 species
CCUACGGGUGGCUGCAGUGGGGAAUUUUGGACAAUGGGCGCAAGCCUGAUCCAGCAAUGCCGCGUGCAGGAUGAAGGCCUUCGGGUUGUAAACUGCUUUUGUACGGAACGAAAAGUCUUGGGUUAAUACCCUGGGAUCAUGACGGUACCGUAAGAAUAAGCACCGGCUAACUACGUGCCAGCAGCCGCGGUAAUACGUAGGGUGCAAGCGUUAAUCGGAAUUACUGGGCGUAAAGCGUGCGCAGGCGGUUUUGUAAGACAGUGGUGAAAUCCCCG